ensembl:lncRNA
CACAGCUGGAGAAGUAAAUCCAGCCAAAAAUAAAAAUCUGGAUUUGUGCAGAAAGUGCUUAGCCAAGCCCCACACUUCACUUGAAGAGGUCCUCAAAUGAGAGGCUGCUCAGGUGCAGCUGUAUACUUUGCAGUAAAUACGGAAAGGAAUCCCACCUCUCCACUACCUUACUGCAAUUAAAAGGCAGGUUGCUGUUGAUUCUUCCACUUUUUAGGGCCAUGAAUCACGAAAGGCUUAUCAUCAUUGUGUGCUGAAUCACACUAUAAACAUGGACUUUGAAACAUCUUUUUCUGAAACUUAGAGGGACUCAGAGCAGCACAAGUAUUUUGUCUCAGUGGAAAUUAUGGAACUGCAGGUUAAGCAGCUCUAUGAAGUUCUGGAUCCCUUCUGAAAACCAGCUCCCAGAAGAUGAAUACUGUCAGCAUAACAAAGUUUCUUCAGAUAAUUUACAAUUACAGUGAAUUAGAGUUAGAGACACUGGAGUUCAUCAUAUAUAUACAUAUUUAUGUAUGUAUGUAUAUGUGAGUCUGUGUUUAGUGUCUUUUCUAAAAAUGUUUGUUCUUUCACUGACAGCUCUUAUUUUAAAAUCACUCACAAUAAAUAAUAGCCAUUUAUUACAGUGGAGGCCUAGAUCCUGAAAGUCUCAUUCAGUUAAAUCUCAUUCACUAUUUUAAAUAUUGCUUCAGUCCACAUGCUUUCCUCCACUUCCUUCUUCAUCAUCACUGCAGACAACAAUCACCAUGAAUGUUUUUUAUACAUAAUGGGGUUUUUUUAAUAUUAUUUUGAAUUAUUACAGAAUAAGCAUACCUCCCUCCAAUGUUGUCAGCAUGCUUUCCUUACAUCUCUACUCAAGCAUAGGGGAUUCUCACCACCAUAAUGUUCCCUUUAAGAGAUGAAAUGCAGAUUGCCACCUAAAAGCCAGAGCCAUUUUCAAGGGCUGCAUCUGCUAACUCUUUGUUAAACGCUGUCCCUAAAAAAGACCAAAGGAUCUCCUAAGGAAAUUUCCUACAUAGAAACCAUGCUAAUCAUGCUCUAGACAUCAUUAAGCUUGAUUAUGGACUUAUAUAAUUAAUAAAUUAAAAUACAACAUAGCAUGAUGAUAUGUCAAAUGCUUAUUUUGUUCAAUGCCAACAGAUGUGGAGAUUAAAGGUAUACACACAUUUUGGGAAGAUGAACUGGCAGACAUGCACACAAUAUUCGACUUUACAGGUAGCUAUUUGAUUUUUUGGCAUGCCAAAAAUUUUCUUCUGUUGUCUCCAGUAAUGAGGCUUAUUACUGGAGCUCUUAGCAUCAGGCCUUUGCUUCUGAGAAGAUCCUGCCCAUGCACCAGUUGUAGAACAUGCUUGAAAAUAGAGAAGUUGCAGGAAAAAAAAAGGGUGUAGACAUGAUAUUAAGAGAUGUAGGCAGCAGAUCAGUGUCUGAACAAAGCAAUAAAGCUGGAUUGGCAAGGUGAAGAUGUACUUGACAUUGAUCUCCUGCCAAAAUUUUGACGUGGCAUAGGAUCAACACUGAACAAGGUCAUGAAGCAACUUGAAUUUUAUCGACAUGAAUCUUAACCAGGCAGGGACAACAGGUCUCCUUCAGAUGAAUUAUAAUUGACUUUGAAAAUUGGAAGAAUAACUAGGUUCAGAAGAUGACAUGAAACAUUUAACCUUUUAAUUGCUGAUUAGAACUUGCCGCAGAGGUGAUCAAAUUCCAUUAUCUUCAGAAGUUUCUGAAAAGAGCUUUUGUGAUUUAUUUUGUUGCAGACCGACUGGAUAUAUUUCCGUAUAAGUUAGUUUCCGAAUUAUCAAGCCAGCAAGCAUUUACUCUAAUUAUUUAUUCAUUCCCGGAGAACUUCUACAUCACUGUUUGCACUGAAUAUGAAUAAUCUUGUGAUUGUUUGAUUAAGAUGUAGCUGCAUGUGGAAAUCAAUGAUACUGUAAGAUACAGUCAUGGAACAGCAGCCAAACAGUUCCUGUGAAUUUGUUUUGGGAGUCUAAAAAAAAAAAAAAAAAGUAAAACAACAAUACCUUAUGCACAAUUUUGAAUGAUAAUUAUGUAAUUAUGUAGUAUAUUGCAUGUCCACAUCCUAGAAAUCACAUUGAAGCAGCAUCCAUUUUACAUCUGUAAGUAGAUUUACAUCAGUGGAAUUAAAAUUUUCCAAUGUUGCACUCAUGUUAAUAAACAAACACCAUUUAGUUACUGAGCACUACAAUUUUAAAAGAGAUUACAUCACCUCAAAGUGUAAAUCCCUCUGAUUGUCAUCCAGACUUAAUAACCUCAGUAACCCAGACAAUCCCAUGAUCUAGCAUUAAAUUCAUGUCAAAUCAUAAGCAAACAUAAGACAGCAAAUAUUAUAAAGAUAUAUUAAAUCUUCCCCAGUCAGCAAAUAAAUCUCUAUCAUCUUCAAAAAGGCCUGUUUUCAAAUGUAAAUACUGCAAUUGUGUCACUGUUGACAGGAAGAAGGCAAAUGAUCAGUCAGUCUACUUACUAAUUACGUUUAUUUUUACAAUGCAAUUAUAGAUUACAAUUCUGUGUUGAAUGAAAUUAGAAAGCAUUAUAAGUAUCACCAUGGUAAAACUAAAAUAGGUCUUUUCAGCCAAUUACAUUUUUCCAUGUAAGAAAUUUUGAUUUCAACAGCUCAUUUUAUAGAAUUGAGAGAUCACAAGAAUGAAUGCUGUUUUUCUGAUAUCCACAUGCGCUACUACGUUAUUGAUUUUAUUGACAACAAAGAAACCCUACGGUUUAUAAGCUCACAUACAGCAUUUUGCUUUUUGCAGAGAUAACAAUUUUCUUUCUUCUUGAAAGCAUCAGUAAGGUCCUAAAAUAUUACAGGAAAUAAGUUGCUUGUUACACCUAAAAGCAUACGGCCUAACAGAAAUUCUCAAAACAAGGUUGUGGGGAAAAUGCAGUGUUGCAUAUAUUCUUUCCUUUGGCAUUACCACAGUUUUAGAUUUUCCUGCCCAAGCAAAAUUUCCUGCAUUGUUAGCUCAGAUAACCAGAGGAUGUACUUUGAUUUGCUUUCUAAUCCAGUUUUUAAUUAAUGUAAAACCUUUUGAGGAGAGAUCUUCUGUGUUUGUUUUCAUCCUGAAGUUUAACAUUUCAGAAAAGAUCAGGGAUCACAUAUCCUACCUUUUUUUUUUUUUUUUUUUUUCUGUU